rnacentral:lncRNA from 1 species
CGGUCCCCAGCCAGCCGCCGCCCGGUCCCCAGCCGCCACCCGCCGCUCCGUCUCCAGCAGCUGCAGCCCCAAGCGUAAUCCGGUGACCUCUAACCUUUGUUAUUUUCAUUAUUUCAUAUUUCAUUGUAUUUCAUUAUUGCUCCAUUCUUAGUAUUAUUCAGUAUUGCAUAUUCCAUUAUUGAGUAUAGUUUUAUUUCGGGAGUAUUCCUUUGAAUUUGUGUGAGCCUUGUAUUUCUUUGUUGCUGCUGCUUUGAUACUACCACCAUGUAUAUCUG